AUGGGACGGGCCGCGGACGGACGGCGGCGGGGGCCGCCCAAGGGCGCCCCGGGACGCGUCUGAGUUCCGGGAAGCGAUGACCGCGCGAGGUGACCAGCAGGGCGUUCCAGAACCCGACGCACCUGGGAACGCGCGGCAGCGAGGUGGCGGCCAGGUCGGGGUGCGGGAGCGCGGGGUGAAGCCCUGGAGUCCGGCAGCGAGCCCCGGCCGCGGAGCAGGGAGGAGAUGCCGGCUGGCAGGAGGGCGCAGCCGAGUGUCCGCCCCUGCGCUGAGUCGGGGACCUGGGUAAGGAGUGCGUGCUGCUGAAGCCAUGAAGGCAGUAACUGGGGUGAUUCUUUCCAGAAGUUAGGGAGCGAGCGAGAGGAGAGAGAGAGAGAGAGAAGAGAGAGUAGGCCUGCAGCUCAAGGGGUAGUGACAGUAAAAGAGACAGUUGUUUUGUUUUGCUUCCAUUGGAGGAGUUCUCAAAUUCAGGAGAUGAGAGGGGAGAAUGAGAGGGGAGAGAUGGGAUAAUUCGGGGUGCCACAGAUAGGAAUGGGAAAAGGCAACGUCCUCCGAGAUUUAAAGGAUGCGUAAAGAUAGACUUAUCUUGGAGUGGGGAGACCUGCAUGUUUCCAUGGAUCUGCUGCCCGGGCGACCCCACCCCCAAGUCAUCCAUAGGCCUGCUGGGGUUACUGUCCUUUAAAACAAGUACAAUGGGGUCAAACCCCUCUAGCACUCCACUUAAAGUAGAAAACCAGCAUAUCUAAAGUAUCUCCAGUAGAGGAACGUACAUUUCUCCUAAUUAUCACUCUCCCCAAUUUUCCAUUUCAAGAAAAACUCAGUCUUUCAGGAACUAUGUUGCUAUACUCUUACUUCAGGAGGUUCUAGAUUUCAUUCCUUCCUUCUAUCUUAAUGAUAUUUGGACAUUCGAUUGACUCAGAGCAAUGAGGUGGGAGCAAUAGUUUUUGUAUCCCAGCUGUUUACAGAGUGAGGAUUGGCCCUUCUGGUUGUUAAUUACAAGUUUUAUUCUAAAGGCAGCAGUUUCAGAGCAAAUUAGCAAAGAGCAAAAAUGAAAGGAAGAACUGUGCACUUUAAACCAGUGCUUUACAAACUUUGUUUUCUUUAUAACUUCCUAUGAGUUUGGCUUUUUUAAGAGUCCAUAUACAAGUGAGAUCAUACACUGUUUGUCUUGCUCUGUCUGACUUAUUUCACUUAGCAUAACACCCUCAAGAUCCAUACAUGUUGUUGAAAAUGACAAAAUGUCCUUUCUGAUAGCUAAAUAAUAUUUUCUGCAAGCUUUUUUAACUGUGACCCUCCAUAAGAAGAAAUACAUUCCAAUUCUCAACCUAGAGUGUACACAUGCAUGUGCACAGAUACACAUACCUUUGAGAAAGAAGUUUCCUGAAAUAUUACCCUUAUUUUAUGCAAUGCAUGCUAAUGUUUUGUUUUGUUUUUCUACUUCAAGUUCAUCUUAUUUAUUUAUUUACUUUUUUGGUACAUGCCCCUUGCGGGAACCGAACCCGGGACUCUCUGGGCCGCAGGCUGACGCUCCAGCUGCUGAACCAAACCGGCCAGGGCUCAUCUUUAUUUUAAGAAGGAUAUCUGCAUGUUUUCACUACUUUGUUGAGAUCUGUGGUACCUCCCAGUGGCUGAACCCAAGAGGAAGACUUAGGGCAAGUGAGCCCACAUGAUGCUGUCCCUCAAGGGCAGCCCUGGAGAAGGGUGGAGAGUGGAUCUAGAGGAACAAAGGCAGAAUUAUCUAGCAGCCGCCCUCAGGAAUCAGCGGGAUCUGUGGUGGCUGAUUUCAUGGGAGCUCCCAGUCACGGACAAGUGCUAGGCCUUGGGCCUCUCCAGAUUUCUGCUCAAGGCCUUCUCAAAAGCCACAGGUGCCUUCUCAGCCCUCUCCCAGGGGCAGCCUGAGCAUAAAGAGAGUUAACCCUCGACCAAUAGGAAAGAUGAGCCAAGGGAUACAUGCCCCAGGUUCCCAUCCUUCAGAUGGGAGGCAUUUUGUACACUCCUCAGAGGUCUCCAUGGAAUCACACCCCUACGUGGAUUUUUCCUCCUCCCCUGCCUCACUUUUUCUUUCUCCCUCACUCCUGCUGCCUGAGGUCACUUCCCAA